ensembl:lncRNA
AGAGACAAAAGGGACUGCACGCACUGGGAAAGACGCCUUAUGCAGGCAACAGGAGAAGGGGGUGUACUUUUGUAACGGAGGGAUACUUGCUAAUUGCAAGACCAGCCGAGAGUAAAUAAAUCCAGCCAAGAAGGAGAGGAAAUGGCUUAUGAGUCCUGAAGAGGAGACACAGACAGGAAGGGGUGAGCGAGGCAGACACUUCCUUCCUUUAUGCCAACAGAUGAACUGGAGAAAGGUGAGGGCUCCCAGAAAUCUGAAAGGUUUUGGAGUGACCUUUAAGGGAUGCCUUACUUAAGUGGUGACAGCUUCCCAAAACAGCAAUAAAGUGCAAACCAGGAGGAUCAAUAACAAAGAUCAGAUCAUUCCGGUUGGCCCAAAUUUUCCGACUCCAACCACUUCACUCCCACUGACUUCAGGGGGCCUUGCUGUGAAAUUCCAGCCAGCCUGGAGACUUCUGAGAAGAGGAGAUAAAUAACAACGAAACAAAAAGUCGCCAGCUUCAUUUAUCAAGUUGGCGUUGCAGCGCUGGAAGCCGACGUGCAGGAGCAGCUUUUGCGACUGCAGUGGCACGGUGGGAUCAUCCAGUUCCAACCCCUGCUAUGUGCAGGGUCGCCAACCACCAGACCAGGCUGCCCAGAGCCACAUCCAGCCUGGCCUUGAAUGCCUCCAGGGAUGGGGCAUCCACAGCCUCCUUGGGCAACCUGUUCAGUGCGUCACCACCCUCUGGGUGAAAAACUUCCUCCUACGUAACCUUAGAGGGAACUUUGUGGAACUGUCUUGACCAUAGUGCAAGAAUUCCAGUUCAGAGGUGUUUUCUUAUGAUGCUGAAUCCAAAUUCAGCUGCAGUUUCUGAGGGUGGAGUUGUACCAUCAAGAGCGGCUGCAAACAUGACCUGAGAAACCUUGUUCCUUGUGGCUGUCCCACACAUGGAUCACCCUAUGUCUAACACAGCACUUUUCAGAAGUUUUCUUGGGUGAAUGGAAGUUGAAAAUACAGAUAUGGGAAAAAACGUGAAGUAAGGUACAAGCAUGGUCCCAAUGGCAAAGCACCACUUAGCUCUGAUAUUAAAUAGGGUAACUCAGUAGGGCACCCCGUGCAUCAUCCAGGGUGGCACGUAAUCACCCCAUACACCUUGUGAAUAUGGGGUACUGUGAAGCACGAGGUCAGAAACGUGUGCUUCCCACUACCCUCUGCAAAAAGGGCAGAUUAAUAGAUAAUUAACAUGUAUUGACGUGCCUUGUGGCGCUUACAAAAUGUGUUUUGAGUUAUGUUUUUGUAACAGUUGGCCAGCAAACCUUGACCUGCAAGGGUUAGGAUGAAUACCUGCACAGCUGGAGCCUUCAGUGGCCAAUCACAGUCCUUCUCUCAUCAUUUCCCGUUUUUAUAAAUGUAAAUAUUGGAGGUCUCGUUUAAACCUUCAGAACCUAAACAUGUCAUCACUAUUAAUAACAUACGUUAUAAGACACCACAUGCUGGCAAAAUAACCUGCAGUAAAUGACACCAGAAAUAUUGAAAAGCUUAGCAUAAAAUUGAAACUCGUUAAUGGUGCACUGUGCAGCUUGGCAUACAACUAGAGGCAAGCAUUCCACACAAUGGGACUGUGUGAGCGCUAACAGCAGGCUCCCACAAGAUAAAAUAAACUUGUUUUAUGGACACGAGGAAUUGAUUUUUAAUGAGUUUCUGCUUGGCCCUAAGAUCAUCCUGGGAGGGUGAGCUGUUUUUCCCCCUUGCCUCUGGUGCAAAAUUAUAGUUUGCAGAAUAAAGGCAUGUUUAAAUUAGGCCUAUGGAUUUGCACCUUCAUCGUAUUAAGUGAAAAGUAGGUGUUAUCCCAGGUCUGAGUAUAAAACGGUUGUUAAAGUGCCUACAAAGAAGAUCUCCUCUUCCCC